rnacentral:rRNA from 1 species
AGUGAACGCUGGCGGUAGGCCUAACACAUGCAAGUCGAACGGCAGCACAGUAAGAGCUUGCUCUUACGGGUGGCGAGUGGCGGACGGGUGAGGAAUACAUCGGAAUCUACUUUUUCGUGGGGGAUAACGUAGGGAAACUUACGCUAAUACCGCAUACGACCUACGGGUGAAAGCAGGGGAUCUUCGGACCUUGCGCGAUUGAAUGAGCCGAUGUCGGAUUAGCUAGUUGGCGGGGUAAAGGCCCACCAAGGCGACGAUCCGUAGCUGGUCUGAGAGGAUGAACAGCCAAAAUGGAAACGAGACAAGGUCCAGACUCCUACGGGAGGCAGCAGUGGGGAAUAUUGGACAAUGGGCGCAAGCCUGAUCCAGCCAUACCGCGUGGGUGAAGAAGGCCUUCGGGUUGUAAAGCCCUUUUGUUGGGAAAGAAAAGCAGCAGGUUAAUACCCCGCUGUUCUGACGGUACCCAAAGAAUAAGCACCGGCUAACUUCGUG